rnacentral:rRNA from 1 species
UGAGGGAUAUUGCACAAUGGGCGAAAGCCUGAUGCAGCAACGCCGCGUGAGGGAAGACGGUCUUCGGAUUGUAAACCUCUGUCUUCGGUGACGAACAAAUGACGGUAGCCGGGGAGGAAGCCACGGCUAACUACGUGCCAGCAGCCGCGGUAAUACGUAUGGUGCAAGCGUUAUCCGGAUUUACUGGGUGUAAAGGGAGCGCAGGCGGUGCGGCAAGUCUGAUGUGAAAGCCCGGGGCUCAACCCCGGUACUGCAUUGGAAACUGUCGUACUAGAGUGUCGGAGGGGUAAGUGGAAUUCCUAGUGUAGCGGUGAAAUGCGUAGAUAUUAGGAGGAACACCAGUGGCGAAGGCGGCUUACUGGACGAUAACUGACGCUGAGGCUCGAAAGCGUGGGGAGCAAACAGGAUUAGAUACCCUGGUAGU